rnacentral:rRNA from 1 species
GCGGAAGGAUCAUUGGUGAAUUUUAGGGUGCUCUGAGGCUUUAACAUGCACCAGAGGCCCGACAUCCACUUUUCCACACUGUGCACCCUUUGGCGAAAUGGAAUCACGAACACUCUUUUGCGGGGUUUCGUAGGGACGUUUUGCGGCUUCUUUACAAAAACACAAGUAUUAAGGAUGUAAACAAAAUUGUAAUAAAAAGAAAAACUUUCAACAACGGAUCUCUUGGCUCUCGCAUCGAUGAAAAACGCAGCGAAAUGUGAURAGUAAUGUGAAUUGCARAAUUCAGUGAAUCAUCGAAUCUUUGAACGCACCUUGCGCUCUCUGGUAUUCCGGAGAGCAUGUCUGUUUGAGUGUCAUGAACUCUUCAACACACCGGUUCYUAGCUGAACCGGCGCGUGUUUGGAUUCUGAGUGUUGCUAUUCAGUUAGCUCACUCGUAAUAUAUUAGCAUCUCAAUUUCUUAAUCGGAUUGACUCGGCGUAAUAGACUAUUCGCUGAGGACACCAGACCGCGUUGUUUGGUGGCCGAGAAAUGGAAAAGGGACGCUUCGAACCCUUGCAAGUCAUUCUAAGAUUAGACCUCAGAUCAGGCAGGACUACCCGCUGAACUUAAGCAUAUCAAUAAGCGGAGGAAAAGAAACUAACAAGGAUUCCCCUAGUAGCGGCGAGCGAAGCGGGAAGAGCUCAAAUUUGUAAUCUGGCACCUUUGGUGUCCGAGUUGUAGUCUCGAGAAGUGUUUUCCGCGCCGGUCCGCAUAUAAGUCUGUUGGAAUACAGCGUCAUAGUGGUGAGAACCCCGUAACUGAUGCGGCAGCCCGGUGCUCUGUGAUACACUUUCGAAGAGUCGAGUUGUUUGGGAAUGCAGCUCAAAUUGGGUGGUAAAUUCCAUCUAAAGCUAAAUAUUGGCGAGAGACCGAUAGCGAACAAGUACCGUGAGGGAAAGAUGAAAAGCACUUUGGAAAGAGAGUUAACAGUACGUGAAAUUGUUGGAAGGGAAACGCUUGAAGUCAGACUUGCUAUUUGGAGUUCASCCGCAAGGUGCACUCUCCGAUUUGCAGGCCAGCAUCAGUUUUCGGGGGNUGAAAAAGGGUAUUGAGAAGGUAGCAGUUUCGGCUGUGWUAUGCUMUSKANUGRASAUCCUCGGCCAAYGCAGCACGCNGCNCGMUYUGGCGAGSCCCKAGGGGCUUUCGCGCUUGGGAUGCUGGUGGAAUGCUUUAAAC